rnacentral:sRNA from 1 species
AGCAGCCGCGGUAAUUCCAGCUCCAAUAGCGUAUAUUAAAGUUGUUGCAGUUAAAAAGCUCGUAGUUGAAUUUCGGGAUCAAUACGUCUGUCGUGCCUUUGGUACGUACGGGUGUAAUUGGUUUCUACCUUCUGAGGAUCCUUGAUGUCAUUAAUUUGGUGUCUUGGGGAAUCAGGACUGUUACCUUGAAAAAAUUAGAGUGUUUAAAGCAGGCAUACGCUUGAAUACAUUAGCAUGGAAUAAUGAAAUAGGACGUUCGAUUCUAUUUUGUUGGUUUCUAGGAUCGACGUAAUGAUUAAUAGGGAUAGUUGGGGGCAUUAGUAUUCAAUCGUCAGAGGUGAAAUUCUUGGAUUUAUUGAAGACUAACUACUGCGAAAGCAUUUGCCAAGGAUGUUUUCAUUAAUCAAGAACGAAAGUUAGGGGAUCGAAGACGAUCAGAUACCGUCGUAGUCUUAACCAUAAACUAUGCCGACUAGGGAUCGGAUGAUGUUAAUUUUUUAAUGACUCAUUCGGCGCCUUA